rnacentral:rRNA from 1 species
CACGUAGGGCGCGAGCGUUGUCCGGAAUUAUUGGGCGUAAAGAGCUCGUAGGCGGCCUGUUGCGUCCGCUGUGAAAGCCCGGGGCUUAACCCCGGGUCGGCAGUGGAUACGGGCAGGCUAGAGGUAGGUAGGGGAGAAUGGAAUUCCCGGUGUAGCGGUGAAAUGCGCAGAUAUCGGGAGGAACACCGGUGGCGAAGGCGGUUCUCUAGUACGGUACUGACGCCGAGACGCGAAAGCGUGGGGAGCGAACAGG